UAGANACUUAGGAUAAACCUAAACCAAGAGCCUUCAAAGCUCAANAUAUGAACUAGCCCUCAUAGUUUCU
rnacentral:tRNA from 1 species